CCUACGGGGGGCAGCAGUGAGGAAUAUUGGUCAAUGGACGAGAGUCUGAACCAGCCAAGUAGCGUGAAGGAUGACUGCCCUAUGGGUUGUAAACUUCUUUUAUAUGGGAAUAAAAUGUUCCACGUGUGGGAUUUUGUAUGUACCAUAUGAAUAAGGAUCGGCUAACUCCGUACCAGCAGCCGCGGUAAUACGGAGGAUCCGAGCGUUAUCCGGAUUUAUUGGGUUUAAAGGGAGCGUAGGUGGAUUGUUAAGUCAGUUGUGAAAGUUUGCGGCUCAACCGUAAAAUUGCAGUUGAAACUGGCAGUCUUGAGUACAGUAGAGGUGGGCGGAAUUCGUGGUGUAGCGGUGAAAUGCUUAGAUAUCACGAAGAACUCCGAUUGCGAAGGCAGUUCACUGGACUGCAACUGACACUGAGGCUCGAAAGUGUGGGUAUCAAACAGGAUUAGAUACCCGUGUAGUC
rnacentral:rRNA from 1 species